UCCACACCCAAGCAUGGAGCCCAAUGUGGGACUUGAACACACAACCCUGAGACUGAGACCUGAACAGAAAUCAAGAGUUGAACGCUUAACCAACUGAGCCACCCAGGCGUCCCAAAAAGGAUUUUUCAAAGAUAACCCUAUGGGUCAAUCCAGAUGCGACUGAAUAUGCAGGACUUUAUUAGGGAAUUGGAUCCUAGUCAUGUACCACAUGAAGAGUGCUACAGGGCAUCACACCAGCUAUUACAUGCUUUGGCUUGGAAGCCAUACAUGCCACUUCCAACUGCAGCCCCUGGACUAGAAGAGGUCACCUCACCUAAUUACAUUGAAGUUGAAAGGUUUAACCCUCCUGGGAGUCCAGAAAGAGGGGGACACCAGAUAUAGGUUUAUGAAAAUGUGACAGUUUUCUCUCAUUAACUCCAUAUAGGGUAUGAUCACCUGUCUUUCUACAUCAGGUUGGUACUUUCUGAUACUGUUUUGAACUGUUUCUCAGUUUUGUGAAGGUGUCUAAGUGCAUUUUUAUUUUUUCAACAGAAUUACAGUUGUCUAGGGUUGCCUGCGUGGUUCAGACCACUAAGCAUCUGACCCUUGAUUUCGGCUCAGGUAUGGGGUAGUGAGAUCAAGCCCUGCAUCAGGCUUUGUGCUCAGCGGGGAGUCUGUUUGGAAUUCUCUUUCUUUCCCUCUGUCCCUCCCCAUCUCUUUCUCCCUUCCUCCCUUAUAAAAAAAAAAAAAAAAAAUUAUGGUUGUCUUGAGGGCAGGAUUUCCAUUCCCAGUCACUGUCAUUACUGUGUACAGUGCUCUCCACAGAGCUUGUAUAUCAACACUGCCUCGACCUGGUAUAUCUGCUCAACUGUCAGCUUAAAGUCAAGUGUCACAAGCUGCUGUCCACUGAGAGCUGCUCUUCUCCAAAUACUUGAGUACAAGUAAUAGGGCAAAACCAGUUGUGACUGUGUACCAUUAACCAAACAGUAUUAUCCCAAACAAAGUAGUAAAGAAAUGGGGGCAAAGAUGUGCACUCAGAAGAUGUGCUUUUUCUUUUUGUAUUUCUAGAGCUGAUUGUCUAAUUGGAAAAUUCGAUUUUUAAAAAAGGAGACCUCAUACUUUCCUCUUCCUUCCCUCAGUGCCCUGCCUCCUAUCAAAAUAGGAAGUGUCCCUAGUCUUUUAUUCAGGCUGCCAUUAACAGGUGAUCAAUCUUUCAACAGAGUAGUCAUUAAAAGUGCAGGCUCAGGAAUCAAUGUCUGGGAUUGAAGCUGCCAGCUACUCGCUGUAUUUUACCUCAUUUACUAAACCUGUCUAUGCCUAAGCAUGUUUAUCUAUAAAAUGGAAAUAACCAUUGUUACUGUGAUUCAUGCUGAACAUUGCAAGUCCUUAGCACAUAGUAACUACUCAAUAAAUGCCCAACCCCAUUAGACUGCGAGCUCCAAUGUGUUGAAUCAGUCACUUUGUCUCAUCUCUGAUGCCUGAUUGAAAAGGACAGAAAGUACAGAGGGAAGCAAACUCUUCUUCCCAUGUUCCUGCCUCUCUCCACCCUUACUGGCUCCUCGGACUAGAAAAAUGUUUCUUGUACUUGUGCCAUCUGGCCCCUCUCUUGAGCUUUCUGGGAGUCGUAUCUGUCUCCAGGCAUUCCCUCUUCUCUUUCCUUUUUCUCAUAUAGUAAUCCAUAUUUGGACUAUCCAGAUGCUUGGUUUGAGUUUAAGGAGGUAAAUUCAAGUCAGGCAGCAAAAAAAGACACCCCCUUUAUAUCCAGGGCUAAACAAUAGGCUCUCUCUCCAGCUUUACACAGUAUAGAGCAGAUAUUAUGAGCUCUAAUUUCUUAGUUCAUUUCUCAAUUGGACCAGAAGCCAAGGGAAAGAGAUGUGAUCGACUCUUCUGCAUCCUAAGAGAUAUGAAAUAAGUUGAAUUCCACUCUUUCCCCAUUCCUAGUUUGGUUUAAGUUAUUGUUUUUAGUUUGUAUAGGUGGUAGCUUGAAUAGUAAUGGCAGGACACUCUCCAUUUGCUCAUUCAUUCAUUCAAUACAUAUUUAUUAAGCACCAACCUUGGACCUGGCAUUGGGUUAAAUGCUUAAGUUACUGGAAUAAAAAUGACAAAACACUU